GACGGAGGAUGCAAGCGUUAUCCGGAAUGAUUGGGCGUAAAGCGCGCGCAGGCGGUCAUCUACGUCUGGGGUGAAAGCCCGGAGCUCAACUCCGGGACUGCCUUGGAUACGGGAUGACUUGAGGAUCGGAGAGGCAAGGGGAAUUCCACGUGUAGCGGUGAAAUGCGUAGAGAUGUGGAGGAACACCUGUGGCGAAGGCGCCUUGCUGGCCGAUUUCUGACGCUGAGGCGCGAAAGCGUGGGGAGCAAACAGG
rnacentral:rRNA from 1 species